AGCUUUAUGCAAUGGCAGUGUUGCAUAUGGCCAAUGAGGUUUAUCUGAGGCACAAUUAUUGCUAAUUGAAAACUUUUACCAAUACCCUGCCCUGACAACUUGAAAUAUAGUAGGCUUUGGCAAUUUUUGACAGUCUCUACAGAGA